GCUCCUUUUUAGAGAGGUACUGUAUGUUUCAUCUCUGUAUCUAAAGGCAAAGAACCUAGAAAGUAUCAGGGAAUCAAAAAUUAUUUGUUGAUCAACUCAUGAAUGACCAACAGGAUGAAAAAUGAUGAACUACCCAGAGCCUUGGCAAGUUACUCACAAACAUAUUCAUCCAUUUUGUUUAUAUCUCCAGUUCCCAAGUCUGCUCUGUCACUCAACAAGUGAAUUCUCUUUAAUGAUAUCCAUGUUAGUUCACUGAUUAUUCAUCAGUUCCUGCCUGUUUUUCUCUGAAAUUUUCCAAUAAAUGACCACAAACAAGAAGCAGUCUAGGGACAGUGGCAGUAGCCACUGAGGACUGUUCAAAGCCAUUCAUGAAUUAACUCUCAAGAAGAGCCUUACACAAUGUCUGGAAUUAGUACGUCAUACUCAUUGUACUGGUAUACCUUGGAGAUACUGUGGGUUUGGUUCCAGACUACCUCAAUAAAGCAAAUAUCGAUAACA